rnacentral:rRNA from 1 species
UGGGGGAUAUUGCACAAUGGGCGAAAGCCUGAUGCAGCGACGCCGCGUGGGGGAUGAAGGCCUUCGGGUUGUAAACUUCUUUUGCUCUGAACAAGGCAUGCUAAUGGGUGUGUUGAGUGUAGGGGUUGAUUAGCGCCGGCUAACUACGUGCCAGCAGCCGCGGUAAUACGUAGGGCGCGGGCGUUGUCCGGAAUUAUUGGGCGUAAAGGGCUUGUAGGUGGCUUGUUGCGUCUGUCGUGAAAGCUCAUGGCUUAACUGGGGGUUUGCGGUGGGUGCGGGCUGGCUUGAGUCUAGUAGGGGAGGCUGGAAUUCCUGGUGUAGCGGUGGAAUGCGCAGAUAUCAGGAGGAAUACCGGUGGCGAAGGCGGGUCUCUGGGCGGUUACUGACACUGAGGAGCGAAAGCAUGGGGAGCGAACAGG